CUGCAGCUAGCACCAUUGAACACGCAUUGGGUGUUAUCACUUAACGUCUCCUGGCCGAAUCUUUUCCUACUGGGGCCAUAUGGAGGCUGGAAGAGGUUCUGCAGCAGCUAAUUCUGGCAUCCAUGUCGAUUGGGGAGACCGAAUUGGAAGCAAAACUUGAGGAGGCAGUCAGCAAGAUCAAGAGGCAAUAGUAUUCGCUGCAUCUUUGUACUUGUAACAUGUCUUGAUGGCGUCAUGAUUCCGUAAGAGCUCCAAAGAGAAUAGAGAAAUUAAAUCUCAGUUAUUUUGUUCCAAGUGUUCUUCGCCUGAUGGAGAUGUCUGGUGGAAACACGGAACAAUGAUAUGGCAGGCAAAAUUUUGUUAGUGUUGUGUUAACCAUGUAGGGCAUGUUUGGAAUACAAUAUGUUAGAAUUUGCAGGAACCUUUACAGCUAUACCAGAAAUUCUGAAGAACCACAAGAAUCGAUGUGGCUUGUACAAGUAAAUUAGUUAGGAAUAUUCCAUGUGAUCCUAUAUGCUGCUCUUUGUCUCUGUAUUAUUGUCUCUGCAAUCGACUA